CCUACGGGUGGCAGCAGUGAGGAAUAUUGGUCAAUGGACGAGAGUCUGAACCAGCCAAGUCGCGUGAAGGAUGACUGCCCUAUGGGUUGUAAACUUCUUUUAUAAAGGAAUAAAACGAGGCACGCGUGCCGUUUUGCAUGUACUUUAUGAAUAAGCAUCGGCUAACUCCGUGCCAGCAGCCGCGGUAAUACGGAGGAUCCGAGCGUUAUCCGGAUUUAUUGGGUGUAAAGGGAGCGUAGAUGGGUUGUUAAGUCAGGUGUGAAAGCUCGCGGCUCAACCGUCAAAUUGCAAUUGAUACUGGCAGUCUUGAGUACAGGUGAGGUAGGCGGAAUUCGUGGUGUAGCGGUGAAAUGCAUAGAUAUCACGAAGAACCCCGAUUGCGAAGGCAGCCUGCUAGAC
rnacentral:rRNA from 1 species